UACGAAGGGGGCUAGCGUUGUUCGGAUUUACUGGGCGUAAAGCGCACGUAGGCGGAUCGUUAAGUCAGGGGUGAAAUCCUGGAGCUCAACUCCAGAACUGCCUUUGAUACUGGCGAUCUCGAGUCCGGAAGAGGUGAGUGGAACUCCUAGUGUAGAGGUGGAAUUCGUAGAUAUUAGGAAGAACACCAGUGGCGAAGGCGGCUCACUGGUCCGGUACUGACGCUGAGGUGCGAAAGCGUGGGGAGCAAACAGGG
rnacentral:rRNA from 1 species